rnacentral:rRNA from 1 species
AUAGAGGUGCUGGGGUUGUCGCUGACUUUUGAAAGGGUCGUGCACACCUCGGUGCUCUCACACAUAUCCCUCUCACCCUUUGUGCAUCACCGCGUGGAGGCCCCUUUUGGCUAUUUCUGAGGGGGGUUUUCACGUUUUUACACAGACACCCUUUUAAUGCAUGUGUAGAAUGUCUUACUUUUUGUGAUCACACACAAUCAAUACAACUUUCAACAACGGAUCUCUUGGCUCUCGCAUCGAUGAAGAACGCAGCGAAAUGCGAUACGUAAUGUGAAUUGCAGAAUUCAGUGAAUCAUCGAAUCUUUGAACGCACCUUGCGCCCUUUGGUAUUCCGAGGGGCACACCCGUUUGAGUGUCGUGACAUCCUCAAACCUUCUUGGUUUCUUGACCGGGAAGGCUUUGGACUUUGGAGGCUUUUGCUGGCCUUCUCUUGUUGAAGCCAGCUCCUCUGAAAUGAAUUAGCAGGGUCUGCUUUGCCGAUCCUUGACGUGAUAAGAUGUUUCUACGUCUUG